UACGGAGGGUGCAAGCGUUAUCCGGAUUUACUGGGUUUAAAGGGUGCGUAGGUGGGUUGGUAAGUCAGUGGUGAAAUACUUUCGCUUAACGAAGGAACUGCCAUUGAUACUACCAGUCUUGAAUACAGUGGAGGUAGGCGGAAUGCGUCAUGUAGCGGUGAAAUGCUUAGAUAUCGUCCAGAACACCGAUAGCGAAGGCAGCUUACUAAGGAGUAACUGACGCUGAGGCACGAAAGUGUGGGGAUCAAACAGG
rnacentral:rRNA from 1 species